GGGAACAUCAGGACAGCAGUGGCACCAUGAGGGGCUGAGGACACUGGGAGGUACCCAGAGCUCCAGCGGGCACAGGCCAAGGGCAGGAGGGCAGGGCUGAGUCCAAGUACACACGUGCCCGGGGCUCUGUGGCCCCCAGCUCAGACUUGGCUCUACCCCACUGAUUCAGCCAGUACCUAACGAUGGAUAUAUUGACUCAGAACCACCACGAACAUGUAGUCACACCGACUGCCCUGCCGUAUCAAUCCAGCAAGCGAGCAAGGUUCUUUCAAAGGAAAGGAAGUUCCGCAAUAGCAUCCGUGCGUCUUGCGCCAAAGGAGACAGGGUGCAGGAAAGAACUUUGUAAGCUCCUCACACGCACAGGCCAGAGGGUUCUGACAGCUGGACCUGCUUGCCCCGAGGCCCCACCCGAAGCCUGGUCCCCCACCCACACAGAAUACAGUGGGUCCUGCUGCUCACAUCCCCUCUCUUCCCCUCACCCUUCUGUGACACAGCUGCCUCUGGCCCAGGGAUGCCCGAGGUCUUGGUAUGACUCCUCAGCUCACUUGAUGCUGACCCACGGCGGGACAGAGGAGGGAUUCGGAGGACCUCGUCCAGGGAUCCAGCCAUCCGCAGCUGACAGCUUUGUUUCUCCACUGGACCCUGCUCAUACCUUGAUUAGAUUAAAAAUAAUAGAGAACACUUGAGUUCAAAUUAAGAUUCCAACAGGAUUCAGCAAUUUCCACAAACAACAAUAAAAAUUAACAAGCUGACUCUGCCUCUAAAGGUCACUAUUUCUGAAGUCUCUGAUUUUCUAUAAGACUCACGGGUAUAACCUGUGCUGAUCUCUGGCUGGCAUUGACCCCGGACUGUUUUUCCUUCAUGGCCAUCUUUCCCA
rnacentral:lncRNA from 1 species